rnacentral:lncRNA from 10 species
CGCGCCCCCGCGGCUCAGCUCCAGUAGGAAAACAUCCUCUCACUAUGUGGCCGGAAGUUGAACUCCCGGGCAGCUCCCUUGUGUGCGGCUUCUUUAAAGGGAAGGCAGGAGGCGGACAGCUUGGCUGUGACCCUUUAGCGCUGGGUCGCGUGUGGCCCACCCUCGGCCUGAGGCAUUGUUGGGUGGUUGGAGGUGGUUGUAGUAUUUGGAAAAGAACUUGUCCCUGAAGGGCUCAGGGGACUUGGUUUCUCAGCUCCUAAUAUGGAAAAUUAAGGCAUUUCUUACGAGAUGCAGAUUUUAAAGCAGGCAUAUCUACUCGACGGCUUUGGAUUACUGCACUGCACAAAUUCCAGUCUCUGUCGGUUUUGGCUGAGAAGAGCUGUGCUUCUCACCAGCUACUGGUGAGACAUUCGCCCUACAGGAAAGGGUCGGUAUGAUUGUGGACAUUGACAUGCGUAGCAAAAGAAAGUGGCUAAUUUGCGCCAAUAAUAAUAAAUUAGCUUGUAUUUGAAUUAGCCAAGUCUUUGCGGUUUUGCUAACUUGGCUUCACUUUGCAUGGAGUGGGAAGCGCCUGCUUCUGAAAAGGUGACUUUUUUCCUAAUUAGAAUGGACUCCUCUUAAGGCCAUGCAGUUUUCAAAGAAGAAAGACAAGCUGGACGUUUUGUUAGUAACAAAAUGUAUGUGGGUCCUAUUCUAACUUGUUACAGAAAAGGGCUUUUUCCCCCAUCUUUUUUCUUUCAACAUUUUCUAGGCUGUUGGGGAUAAAAAAUUAACGAGACAGGUCUUCCUUCGCAGACAUAUAAAUACCUGAUACAUAAUUAGAAUGUGAUAUUUUUGCACCUCUGUUGGUUAGAGAAGGCAGACAAGAUUGCAAAGUAGUAUUUCAUUCAUUCCUUUAAUACAUUUUAGUACCAAGUAAGUUGCUGGAUGCUGUCUGUCACUGGAGAUGCCAUAGUGGAUCACGGAGCUUAUAUCUUCAUGGAGCUUACUGUCUUUUU